rnacentral:tRNA from 1 species
UGCACCAUGGUGUAAUGGUAGCAUACCAGAUUCCGGUUCUGGAGGUGGUGGUUCGAGUCCAUCUGGAGCAG